GAAGCUCAGUUGGUAGAGCAGGAGUCUCUUAAUCUCAGGGUUGUGGGUUCGAAUCCCACAUUGGGCA